rnacentral:tRNA from 1 species
GGGGAAAUAGCUCAGUUGGUUAGAGUGCUGGUCUGUCACGCCAGAAGUCGCGGGUUCGAACCCGUUUUCCCUG